CCUACGGGAGGCAGCAGUGAGGAAUAUUGGUCAAUGGGCGGGAGCCUGAACCAGCCAAGCCGCGUGAGGGAAGACGGUCCAGUGUAUUGUAAACCUCUUUUGUCAGGGAACAAAGCCGGGGACGAGUCCCCGGAUGAGGGUACCUGAAGAAAAAGCAUCGGCAAACUCCGUGCCCGCAGCCCGGGUAAUACGGAGGAUGCGAGCGUUAUCCGGAUUUAUUGGGUUUAAAGGGUGCGCAGGCGGACUGUUAAGUCAGCGGUAAAAGUCCGGGGCUCAACCCCGGCCCGCCGUUGAAACUGGCGGGCUGGAGUGGGCGAGAAGUACGCGGAAUGCGCGGUGUAGCGGUGAAAUGCUGAGAUAUCGCGCAGAACUCCGAUUGCGAAGGCAGCGUACCGGCGCCACACUGACGCUGAGGCACGAAAGCGUGGGUAUCGAACAGGAUUAGAUACCCCAGUAGUC
rnacentral:rRNA from 1 species